rnacentral:lncRNA from 1 species
CAUGUUUAAGCUUCUUUAUUACACAUUUUAUGAGAAAGUAUGACAGACUUGACAAGAAUUUAAUGGCUAAAUAUAACUUUACAGCUACAUGUAUCUUUACAGCUUCCUGAAAGCUAAAGUUUGUACAGACUUGCUUUAAUUACCUAAUUAUAAAACAAUACAUAAUGCCAAAAAGCUAUCAGUUGACAUUAUCUGUGUAUGUCAGCACCAGUUUGUUUCACUGAGCUUUUGCUUAACUCCUGACUCCCUUUAAUUUUUAUACUCUAUGGAUCUAUCAAAGGUAAAUAAUACAGCUUUGCCCACAAUAAGAUACUAUGCUAUUUUCUGCCCAUCAGUGUUAAGAAUCUUAUAAGCACCAGCCACUUCUAAAGAAGUCUAAAGAAUCUAAAGAAUUGGAUUCCAAUCUGAGGAUUUCCUUGGCAGGUGCAGCAUUGGCUGAUUUUUGGUGGCGCUGUUUGCCAUGUCUAACUCAUACACAUGUGAGAGUUGUUAUACCACAUUGUUUUGUGAAAUGAAGAACAAGGAUAAAGGGUAACUCUCACUCUUUGGCACAAGUUGCUAAAGGACCCUGGAGUUCUCUGGGUUUCUGAAGGCAACAGUGGAAUGGCUUUUCCUUGCAUCCCUGUAUACUAACAAGCCCUGUUUCCCUCAGCAGGGAGCAGGAGGGAGUGCCACUGUACAUACCAGCAAAAAACCUUUUCCAGGCCUUUCUCAGGAUCCUGUUGCUGUGAGUUCCUGGCCAUCAAGCCAAGCUCCAUCCUGUGGCAUCAAUUCAGCAUUUCAGUUCUUCAGACAUCCAGAUGGGACUGGCUGUGACCAUGCAGGAGCUGUAAGUCACCCACCCACCUGACCAGCAGAUGAAGGACAAGGGAGGUGCCCUCAAACAUCUGAAAUCAAGCAUCUGGAUUGAGCCCCAGCUCCCUUCUGUGAAAGGGGUUUCUUUUAUAAGGAUUAAGAAAGCACAAUCAGCUCCUGGGUUAAGUUUGUCAUGUUUUAAAGCAGACGUGUGAAAUGAACCUGGGUGAGAUGCAAUCCAGUACUGACAUAAAUCUUGCACGUGCCUUUGAUUGCAUGGAAAAGCAUGCCUGUGUUAGGGGGAGAGAUUGUGAAUGCUUCAUAUACAUCAUCAUAAAUUAAGAGUAGCAGCCACAUUCUCCAAAGCUAAUUAAAUGUAACUCUUUUUGUCUUCCCAGCACAUGCAAACAGAUUAUUUUUCCUUUAGCUAAAAAACGUUGCCUGCAUGCUUUCUCUUUCUUCUUUUUACUUAAGUUUAUUGUUUGUUAGAACAUCUGGCCUCUUUCCAGAAGGAAGCUUUGAUGACUCUCCUGCUGGCAUAACUCAGAGAAACACAUGGAAUUUUUAUUCUUCAUUUCCAUCUUAGCAGCAGCAGUCAGAAAUAACCAUCCAGCUAACACUUAGAAAGAAUGACAGCCACACAAAGGUUUUAGGGACAGAAAAAUCAAACUGUGUGAAAAUGUCUGUCAAGGAUUUAAACACCAUUCCAGAGACAGACCUGGGCACACCAAAAAAGUGUUUUGUUUACCAGAGGAUCCCUUUUAUUUAAGAAUAUGAAUGUCUGUAUUAACUAAGAUAAUUAAAUACAGUGCAGAGACACUAUUUGAACUAGCUGUGUUUUCAAAGAAGGGCAAUAAAGCUGGUGAAGGGUCUGGAGCACAAGUCCUGAGAGAAGCAGCUGAAGGAGUGUCACACUCUUCAGCAGUAGCCAAAGGCAGUUGCAUGGAUACAAGCGUGGGAGCAACACUGGAUAUGCCACAUUUCCUUGGAAGCAACAGCAGCUCAGGGACUGGAGAGUAUGAAAUAGCACUGCACAGAGGAUCACAACAGUGUGAUUCCACAACAUGGGGAGCUUUAAAAUCAAUACUGGCAUUUGGGAAAAAGUGAAGAUAAAUGGACUUUUUUUGUAACUUCACCAUGGUAAUUUAUAAACGAAAGGUGAAAGACAAAGGACUGGCUCAUACUUCUUCUUCUUCAUUUAGACCCUUAUAGCUGGUUCUGUGCAGAUUCCUGCAGAUCAAAGCUACUGUUCCUACUUCACUUCUUGAUGAGGAUCUAAAACAAAUUGGCUCUGAGGAGAUGCUUAUAAGGGAAUAGAGUGGGAUUUCAGGAAGAUAUUUAUCUCUGAAAAAAGAACUAAUUGUUCAAUUAAAAUUAACUCUAAAAGCAACUUAAAAAGAAGGCUCUCUAUCAUUCUUAACACAUUCUAAUUUAAUUGCAAACACUAUUUUUCUUUCCCUUCAUCUCAUUUUCCAAAAGGUUAUCCAAUACAAAAAUUUAAUGAAAAUUUAAUUUGAGAAUUCUUUGUGCCAAUCUAAACAACACAUAUUAGAAUCUAUGCAAAAACUAUCUGAAUGCCUGGAUACUUUGCACAAAUGCAAAAAAACAGGCAAGCUCUUUCUAAUGAAAGGUGCUACAUGGCUGAAGAUGGUUGGAAUUUCCAUUCAAGACAUUUCCCAAAUAAAGAAAAUACCAGCAAGAAUCACACAAAACCAUCAACUAUCAAAGAAAGACAAAAGGACAUGGCAUCUGUGUUUUUAAAAAUAAAGUUAGAUAAUUUCUUGACCACAAUUCCUAAAUUAAUUUUCACGGAUUGUUAUGAGCUGGAAAUAAGAUGCUGAAUCUGAGGUCUGCAGAUUUAACCAGCCAGUCUAGUUAGAAAAGCAUUUGGAGAGCAAUGGUCCUCCCUGCAUCCUUUGAUUGAUUCCUAUAACUAUCUUUUGGACUAGAUUUUUUUUUUUCUCUGUACUGCAUUAAAGUGUUUGUAAACUCUUAGGACUAUCAAGCAAUUCCCCAAGACUCUGUGUGACUUGAGGUAGUAAAUAUUUCAAUAGGAGUUCAGCAUUUAAGGCCAUGCAGUAAAUUUCUUUCAGACUGGCCACUAUCUUAGCAUCCUCAGUGAUCAGUAUCACUCAUCAGCCCCUAAGAUACUUACAUAAAUUAAGACCUGGAUAUUUGAAGACACUUAAGGUAAAACUCAUAUUCUUUGAAAAAUCGGGGCCUAUAAACCUGUCAGAUUUAAUGAAACAUUUGCUAAGCCUCUUCAAAUUAAAGAACUUGCAUUUUAAGAAGUUUAAAUCAAUGAUCCAGGAUUAAAUAUUUGCUUUGGAUUUGACAAUUAUCAAGAGUAACUAAUAAGAAGAGUAAAUCUGUGUAGGACUGUGCAUGACCAGACAAACUGGCAUGUUCCAAUUCUAUUACAAAGUGAAGCCUCUCAAAAUUGGGGUGAUUGUUUCCAGAAUGUCUCUUUGUACAUGCUGCCCUGGCUGUUGCUGCUUUACAGUGACAGCCACUCUUUACUGGCUUACAUGGGAAUCACAGAACAACUUAUAUGGGUUCAAAAAGAUGGUGAUAACUAACAUGAUUUUUCAUGCAGGCAUUAAGAUCCACCACUGUCACAUCCAGAGCUGCAUAACUAAACUAAGCCACUGAGGCUUAAUUGGGUGUGCCUCUUUCACUAGAGCAGGCUGGAGGGCAGGGGCUAUGACACAGGAACUCAGACGCUAAAAAAAAACAGACUACUCUUCCCUGAAAAUAAAGCAGCAGCAGGACACUCACCAAUUGCCACAAUCAAAUAUGAGAUUGAAAAACAUCUCCUAUAUUUGCAUCAGGGCCAUUUGAGAGAAGCAAAAUUGCUGUUUGCUGUGCUUAAUCCAAGUUUCACCCUAGCCCAGCAUCUUUGGAGGGCAAAUGCUUUUAAUCCUCGUGGGUAACAGACACUUCCACAAUUAAUUCAACAUCUGUUCACCACUUUGAGUGACACCUAACAGAUGGGCCACAUCAGCUGGGAAAAAAAUUAAAUGGAAAGGGCACCUCAUCAGUUCCCUGACUGAAACACUUUGUGACAUAUUGCAAAUGGCUAUUAAAAAGUAAGGAAGACAGCUGUAGGGGAGGGUGUUAUCUUUCAUUUGUAUCCAUUCAUACUGUGCAGGUAGGAACAAACCCAGAGUCUGUUUUGAAUCCUGUACCCCAAAGCCAUCCCUUUCCUGCUGCUCCCUCCCAGCCUCACUGUCCUUGCCUGGCAAAAGGUGGGAACUUGCUCCCUAGAGCUGUAGGCAUUCCACCCUCCAUCAGGGAAAUAUGAUUGCUGCCUGCUUUGCAUUACCCACAGGACAAUCAAUCUGAUCUCUGGAAGGUGCCCAACUUGUUUAAAAUAUGUCUAUGAAACCUGCUUGAUGAAUUUUGCCACUUUGCAUGAUCAAUGAGCAUUUGAUUAGUGAUGUUUGUGACAUCAGAAUAAUUCCAUGGCUGGUUUCCAAGCUAACCCUUGUUAUGAGCACACACAAUUGUACUUCGAGCAACUGGGCACAAGAACAAUCAAGUACAGCGUAGCUUCUCACAUUACCAGUCAUCUUUUUCAUUCUCAGUGUGCUUCAUAAACAUUAAUGAUUGCCUGUCAAAAUGUAGCUUGUACCAAUGUGAUGAAGGUUUAAUCAGACUGAAGAAAGAUUACAAUCAGUGUUAUUGUGAGCACUUAAUGCGACAGAGACAGUAGAAGGUUUCUGAACAAGUUCUGCACUAUAUGAAUGCACUCCCUUGUGUUAAGUGACAAUUUGUCAAAAUAUCUUAAGUAAUUUUUUGUCCUUUCUAGGACCCAACCUUGCAACUCCCAGAAUAAGAAGGAAAUUACUUCGUUUUGGAAAUGGGACUUUAGCUAAGGGACAGGACAUAAAAACCAAUGGUUACUCAGCUUUUCUUCAAGAGAUUUAUUUAAGAAAAAAGGAUUCCAGGCAGGUCCAUUCAGGGGCCUAAAGAGCUGCUGAGUCCCAUCUGCUUUAACUCUGUGCCUGGAAAAUAAUUUUGCAGUUGUUUCUGUCCACCUUCCCCAGACUGGUUUGUUAUAGACAGAAUAGGCACUCAGGUCAUCCCAGAGAGCUUCUUGUGUGUGUGUGACUCACCUGCACACUGCUUGUGCUGCUCUCUCUCAACCAAAAUUAUGAUGCAGGACACAAGUAUCACUACCAUGUUCAGUCAGUGCAAUUCCAAGAAGUAUUCACCU